AGGACGAACGCUGGCGGCAUGCCUAAUACAUGCAAGUCGAGCGGAAUGAAGAGAGCUUGCUCUCUGAUUUUAGCGGCGGACGGGUGAGUAACACGUGGGCAACCUGCCCUACAGAUGGGGAUAACUCCGGGAAACCGGGGCUAAUACCGAAUAAUCAGUAUGUCCGCAUGGACAUACUCUGAAAGACGGUUUCGGCUGUCACUGUAGGAUGGGCCCGCGGCGCAUUAGCUAGUUGGUGGGGUAAUGGCCUACCAAGGCGACGAUGCGUAGCCGACCUGAGAGGGUGAUCGGCCACACUGGGACUGAGACACGGCCCAGACUCCUACGGGAGGCAGCAGUAGGGAAUCUUCCACAAUGGACGAAA
rnacentral:rRNA from 1 species